UUCCGGUUGAUCCUGCCGGAGGUCACUGCUAUUGGGAUUCGGCUAAGCCAUGCAAGCGGAGGGCGCGGUCGAAAGAUCGUGGCCCCGCACACUGCUCAGUAACACGUAGUUAACCUACCCUUGGGACGGGGACAACCUCGGGAAACUGAGGCUAAUCCCCGAUAGGUGAGGGACGCUGGAAUGCCUCCUCGCCCAAAGCUCCGGCGCCCAAGGAUGGGACUGCGGUCUAUCAGGCUGUUGGUGGUGUAACGGACCACCAAACCUACGACGGGUACGGGCGAUGGGAGUCGGAGCCCGGAGAUGGGGACUGAGACAAGGCCCCAGGCCCUACGGGGCGCAGCAGGCGCGAAAACUCCGCAAUGCGCGCAAGCGUGACGGGGGAAUCCCAAGUGCCGUUGGUCUUAUGAUCGACGGUUUUUAGGAAGUCUAAGAAGCUUCCAGAAUAAGGGCUGGGCAAGACUGGUGCCAGCCGCCGCGGUAACACCAGCAGCCCAAGUGGUGACCACGAUUAUUGGGCCUAAAGCGCUCGUAGCCGGAUCAGCAAGUCCCUUGUGAAAUCGGGCCGCCUAACGGUUCGGCGUGCAAGGGAUACUGUUGGUCUUGAGGCCGGGAGAGGUCGGAGGUACUCCUGGGGUAGCGGUGAAAUGCUCUAAUCCUAGGGGGACCACCAGUGGCGAAGGCGUCCGACCAGAACGGACCUGACGGUGAGGGGCGAAGGCUAGGGGAGCGAACGGGAUUAGAUACCCCGGUAGUCCUAGCUGUAAAGCAUGCGGGCCAGGUGUCUAGCGCUCCUUGAGGGCGCUAGGUGCCGGAGGGAAGCCGUUAAGCCCGCCGCCUGGGAAGUACGGCCGCAAGGCUGAAACUUAAGAAAUUGGCGGGGGAGCACCCACAGAGGUGGGACCUGCGGUUCAAUUGGACUCAACG
rnacentral:rRNA from 1 species